AGGAAACCGAUAAAAUCAAUCAUCUUCAGUUUUGAAAGACUUAGGCAACUAAGUUUUUCUUCGUGACUUCACGAAGGGCCUAUAGCUCAGUUGGUUAGAGCACACGCCUGAUAAGCGUGAGGUCGGUGGUUCAAGUCCAUUUAGGCCCACCAGAGUUAUAGGUGUCGUAAGAACACAAAUUCUUUGAAAAUUAGGUAAAUAAUAGUUAUUUUUCCGGAACAUU
rnacentral:misc_RNA from 1 species